rnacentral:rRNA from 1 species
UACAGAGGGGGCAAGCGUUGUUCGGAAUUACUGGGCGUAAAGGGCGCGUAGGCGGCCUGCUAAGUCGAACGUGAAAUCCCCGGGCUCAACCCGGGAACUGCGUCCGAUACUGGCAGGCUUGAAUCCGGGAGAGGGAUGUGGAAUUCCAGGUGUAGCGGUGAAAUGCGUAGAUAUCUGGAGGAACACCGGUGGCGAAGGCGGUUCUCUGGGCAUUACCUGACGCUGAGGAGCGAAAGUGUGGGGAGCGAACAGG